CCUACGGGCGGCAGCAGUGAGGAAUAUUGGUCAAUGGACGAGAGUCUGAACCAGCCAAGUAGCGUGAAGGAUGACUGCCCUAUGGGUUGUAAACUUCUUUUAUAUGGGAAUAAAACGUUCCACGUGUGGGAUUUUGUAUGUACCAUAUGAAUAAGGAUCGGCUAACUCCGUGCCAGCAGCCGCGGUAAUACGGAGGAUCCGAGCGUUAUCCGGAUUUAUUGGGUUUAAAGGGAGCGUAGGUGGAUUGUUAAGUCAGUUGUGAAAGUUUGCGGCUCAACCGUAAAAUUGCAGUUGAAACUGGCAGUCUUGAGUACAGUAGAGGUGGGCGGAAUUCGUUGUGUAGCGGUGAAAUGCUUAGAUAUCACGAAGAACUCCGAUUGCGAAGGCAGUUCACUGGACUGCAACUGACACUGAGGCUCGAAAGUGUGGGUAUCAAACAGGAUUAGAUACCCGUGUAGUC
rnacentral:rRNA from 1 species